GUGGGGAAUAUUGGACAAUGGGCGAAAGCCUGAUCCAGCAAUGCCGCGUGAGUGAUGAAGGCCUUAGGGUUGUAAAGCUCUUUUACCAGGGAUGAUAAUGACAGUACCUGGAGAAUAAGCUCCGGCUAACUCCGUGCCAGCAGCCGCGGUAAUACGGAGGGAGCUAGCGUUGUUCGGAAUUACUGGGCGUAAAGCGCGCGUAGGCGGCUACUCAAGUCGGGGGUGAAAGCCCGGGGCUCAACCCCGGAACUGCCCUCGAAACUAGGUAGCUAGAAUCUUGGAGAGGCGAGUGGAAUUCCGAGUGUAGAGGUGAAAUUCGUAGAUAUUCGGAAGAACACCAGUGGCGAAGGCGACUCGCUGGACAAGUAUUGACGCUGAGGUGCGAAAGCGUGGGGAGCAAACAGGAUUAGAAACCCUUGUAGUCC
rnacentral:rRNA from 1 species